rnacentral:lncRNA from 1 species
GGGGUGUUUAAAUCCAUUAACCCAUUUAUAAAUAAUAUUUUUGUUCCAUUUCACCGCAACGCGCGACCUUUAACAAACCUAGUCUUAUAUUAAGAACAAGAGAUCGAUCAUGCCCUAUUUCGGUUUCUAUUAUCACUCAAAUUACAUUCACCCUCGUAUAUCUUUUAAUAUUAAAAAUAAAUAUCAUUUUAUCAUAUAUCAAUCAACAAAAGCAUAAUACGAGUAGUACAAACAUGACAGAAAAUAGAAAAACAACAUUAAAAAAGUGUUUGGAAUCAAAAUAUGCAAUAAUGCAUGCGCAUGUUAGACCUAAACCAAUUUGGAUGAUUUCAACUACAUAAUUGCCACAGACGGCAACGAAGACGCAAAGAGCACAUAAUCAUGUCGAUUACCAGACCUAACAAACAGGUAGAUGACAUGUUCUAACACAAGAUAACGACAUCCCGAUUAGGAUAAAACAAGCAAUAAAACACAAUAAUGCUCAUAUGAAAAAAAAAAAAUAGGAUACAUUAUGGAAAUGCCAAACCCAAAAGCAGUGGACUGUACAGAAAGUUUCGUACAGAACAUGUGUUCCUAGCCGAGAAUAAAAAGCUCUACUGCGUUCGUUAUAC